GUCUGGGCACGAGGCACGGAGAGCACAAGUGUCCCUGUGUGCCUGUCCCCAAGCGGGGCAGAGGCAGGGCUAGAAGACGGGCAGCUUGGAGGAGGUGAGGGUGCAGGCGUUGAUGUCCUCCGUGUGCGCCGCGCGGUGCAGCGAGGGCUCCGACGCGCUGCGGUUGAUCUUGGGCAGGGAGUGUUGCAGCAGCUCGAUGGACGACAGGAUCUGGGGGAACACACCCAGUUAGGGGCUGCUCUGCCUAGGUCAGAGAGGCAGCUCUGCCUAGAACCGAAAUACCAACUGCCAAAGGAGCUGGGUUAUGAACAAAGGCAAAAAUAGGAACCAGGCUGCACUUCAUGUAACCCAAACCUUUCACCUGAGCAGAUUCUUUUGUGUGCUAAUGGCUAUUUAUACAAUACCCUGAAACUCCUGUGCACAAAACACACUUACCUGUGGAAACAGAGGUCGUUCUUCCCUAACCUUCUUCAAGCAAUCUGCUACAAGCCUCUUCAUUGCUUUGGGGCAGUUCUUGUACAGUUUACUGAGGUCUGGGGAAGCAUAACCUCGGCCAACCAUGAAAAUGAUCUGCAGAACAACAAGGAAGCAGCACAAACCAAAGUCAGGGAAGUGGUUUCACUCGUGGUGAUUAAAUCUGAGUACCAAAGGACAGCCCAGAGCCCUGCAGAUUGUCCCAGUGAGUUAACCAGGCUGAUGGUCCCACUGUGUGCAGGGUAGGAUGGGACUGCACCGGGAAUGCUGUGCUUUGGAAGGCUCAGCAGGAGAAGGAGCUGUUGAUGCUCCAUGACAUGGACAUGGGAGCUCCUUCUGCUGAGUCUACAGUGACAACUUGAUGUUCAGGGAUCUCUGAAUCCAUUCAGGUCCGAAAAGACCUCCAAGAUCAUCAAGUCCAACCCUGAAGUCAUGUUGUAAAAGGAGCUGCCAGUUGCAAGAGAUCAUCAGAACUAAUCACAACUAAUGCAGCAAAAAAGGAAAUGGACUGUUUUGAGACAAACAAUAAAAGAUGUUAUUAGUGUUGGAAAA